rnacentral:rRNA from 1 species
AGGAUGAACGCUGGCGGUGUGCCUAAUACAUGCAAGUCGUACGGAAAGGCCCUUCGGGGUACUCGAGUGGCGGACGGCUGAGUAACGCGUGGGAACGUACCCUAAAGUGAGGAAUAACUGCCCGAAAGGGUGGCUAAUGCCGCAUAUGCUCUUCGGAGUAAAGCUUCGGCGCUUUGGGAGCGGCCCGCGUCCGAUUAGCUUGUUGGUAAGGUAAUGGCUUACCAAGGCGACGAUCGGUAGCUGGUCUGAGAGGAUGAUCAGCCAGACUGGGACUGAGAACGGCCCAGACUCCUACGGGAGGCAGCAGUAGGGAAUUUUCCGCAAUGGACGCAAGUCUGACGGAGCAACGCCGCGUGCAGGAUGAAGGUUUUCGGAUCGUAAACUGCUUUUCUCGGGGACGAGCAAGGACGGUACCCGAGGAAGAAGCCCCGGCUAACUACGCGCCAGCAGCCGC